rnacentral:rRNA from 1 species
UACGUAGGGUGCAAGCGUUGUCCGGAAUUAUUGGGCGUAAAGAGCUCGUAGGCGGUUUGUCGCGUCUGCUGUGAAAACUCGGGGCUUAACCCCGGGCCUGCAGUGGGUACGGGCAGACUAGAGUGCGGUAGGGGAGACUGGAAUUCCUGGUGUAGCGGUGAAAUGCGCAGAUAUCAGGAGGAACACCAAUAGCGAAGGCAGCUCGCUGGGACGUUACUGACACUGAGGCGCGAAAGCGUGGGGAGCGAACAGG